rfam:Heterocephalus glaber contig230958, whole genome shotgun sequence.
ACGCAAUCUUCACAUCUUUCCAUCUUAGAAAAUUCUUCCCAAGCGUUUCUUUUGUGUUUUUAACCUAUAAAAGAUAAUGGAGUAUAUUUUAUAGACUAGGUUUUAUCUUCUCCCCAUUCCCAACUGCACUUUGUUUAAUAGUUGUCAGCUUCCCUUUAGCCUUGGAUUUAAUUAUAUAGGACCAAAAUAUUCUCUAGUAAAUAGCUUGCUAAAUAUUUUGUCACUUUUGUGACUUCCCCUCCGAGAACUAGAUUAAUUACAGGAAUCUACCU